GUGGGGAAUCUUCCACAAUGGGCGAAAGCCUGAUGGAGCAACGCCGCGUGAAGGAUGAAGGUCUUCGGAUUGUAAACUUCUUUUAUGAGUGAAGAAUAUGACGGUAACUCAUGAAUAAGCACCGGCUAACUACGUGCCAGCAGCCGCGGUCAUACGUAGGGUGCAAGCAUUAUCCGGAGUGACUGGGCGUAAAGAGUUGCGUAGGCGGUUAUGUAAGCGAAUAGUGAAACCUGGUGGCUCAACCACACAGACUAUUAUUCGAACUGCAUAACUCGAGAAUGGUAGAGGUAACUGGAAUUUCUUGUGUAGGAGUGAAAUCCGUAGAUAUAAGAAGGAACACCAAUGGCGUAGGCAGGUUACUGGGCCAUUUCUGACGCUAAGGCACGAAAGCGUGGGGAGCGAACCGGAUUAGAUACCCCGGUAGUCC
rnacentral:rRNA from 1 species